rnacentral:rRNA from 1 species
GACGAACGCUGGCGGCGUGCUUAACACAUGCAAGUCGAACGGAAAGGCCCUGCUUUUGUGGUGUGCUCGAGUGGCGAACGGGUGAGUAACACGUGAGUAACCUGCCCUUGACUUUGGGAUAACUUCAGGAAACUGGGGCUAAUACCGGAUAGGAUCUCCUGCUGCAUGGUGGGGGUUGGAAAGUUUCGGCGGUUGGGGAUGGACUCGCGGCUUAUCAGCUUGUUGGUGGGGUAGUGGCUUACCAAGGCUUUGACGGGUAGCCGGCCUGAGAGGGUGACCGGCCACAUUGGGACUGAGAGACGGACCAGAGUCCUACGGGGGGCAGCAGUGGGGAAUAUUGCACAAUGGGCGGAAGCCUGAUGCAGCAACGCCGCGUGCGGGAUGACGGCCUUCGGGUUGUAAACCGCUUUCGCCUGUGACGAAGCGUGAGUGACGGUAAUGGGUAAAGAAGCACCGGCUAACUACGUG